rnacentral:rRNA from 1 species
GAUGAACGCUAGCUACAGGCUUAACACAUGCAAGUCGAGGGGCAGCAUGAACUUAGCUUGCUAAGUUUGAUGGCGACCGGCGCACGGGUGAGUAACACGUAUCCAACCUUCCGUUUACUCAGGGAUAGCCUUUCGAAAGAAAGAUUAAUACCUGAUAGUAUGGUGAGAUUGCAUGAUAGCACCAUUAAAGAUUUAUUGGUAAACGAUGGGGAUGCGUUCCAUUAGGUAGUAGGCGGGGUAACGGCCCACCUAGCCGACGAUGGAUAGGGGUUCUGAGAGGAAGGUCCCCCACAUUGGAACUGAGACACGGUCCAAACUCCUACGGGAGGCAGCAGUGAGGAAUAUUGGUCAAAUGGACGAGAGUCUGAACCAGCCAAGUAGCGUGCAGGAUGACUGCCCUAUGGGUUGUAAACUUCUUUAUAUGGGAAUAAAGUGGUCCACGUGUGGAUUUUUGUAUGUACCAUAUGAAUAAGGAUCGGCUAACUCCGUGCCAGCAG